ensembl:lncRNA
GAAGCCGAUUGGCUGCUCCUGAAUCAAUCAUCAAGCUACUUGGGCUCCUGGAAGCCAGGUUUUUCUUAUUGAAGGACUUGCUCUGUAAAGAGCUCUGCUGACAACAUUUCUGUUCUUUGAGUUCUGUAGACUGAUAAUUCUUGUUCUGGGGUCAUCCUCUCUUGCAUAUGCACAAUGAUGUCUCUGUAAAAUAGCUCCAGGUUUGAGUAAUCAACAGCCUGUUUUAAGGAAGCAAAACUGGUUUAAAGUGGUGUAGGGAAAAAGCAAAGUAGCCAAAAUGGUGGAGGCCAGGCUCUCAGCCCACGGCCUCUCGCUCUCACCCCAUGUUUUGUAAAUAUAUGGUUAUGUAACAACUGAGAUCACUUAUAGCAUUGUGAUGCCUGUCAGGAUGUGCCUGCUUGGCCACGGGUCACUGUUGUUCUGUAAGCGUAUAUAAACUCCACCUGAAAAACCCCUUGUGGCCACGUUAUGGCUGUGUGUGCCGGGUCAGCUAUGAGAGAGUACAGCGUGUCUGUGGCUGCUGCACCAGCCAGGAGAAAAUAAACAUGUCUGUAGUUCUUCGAGUUUUCUUCCAGCUUCCCUGCUUGCACCUUGCCCACCCUGGGUUCAGCAAACAGCGAGAUACAGCAAGACAAGUGAUGCUGAUUUGGCUACUUGGGGAUCUAGUUUGUGAAGUUUCUCAGUGGAUCUGAGGACCACAGUGUUUGGAAACCACAGGUGUGGAUAGAGGAAAAGUAUUCAGAAAAGCCAAAGAAUUGAUGCUUUUGAACAGUGGUGCUGGAAAAGACUCUGGAGAGUCUCUUGGACUGCAAGAAGAUUCUAUCAGUCCAUCCUAAAGGAAAUCAGUCCUAAAUAUUCAUUGGAAGGACUGAUGCUGAAGCUGAAACUCCUGUACUUUGGCCACCUGAUGUAAAGAACUGACUCACUGGAAAAAACCCUGAUGCUGGGAAACACUGAAGGCAGGAGGAGAAGGGGACAACAGAGGAUGAGAUGGUUGGAUGGCAUCACUGACUCAAUGGAUAUCAGUUUGAGUCAACUCUGGUAGUUUGUGAUGGACAGGGAGGCCAGGUGUGCUGGAGUCCAUGGGGUUGCAAAGAGUUGGACACAACUGAGUGACCGAACUGAUGCAGAUGAAGUCAAUCAUCAUCAAGAUGAGUAGUUUAAUCACAACAGUGGUGAUUUUGCUUGGGCCACACCCUAGCAUUACCAGGACAUUUUAAACACCUGGACAGCACCCAAACCAAUUAAAUCAGAAUCUGGAGGUGGUUCCAAGUGUCAGUAUUUCAAAAGCUCUGGAAAUGGUGCAGUGCGUAAAUAAGGCUGAGCACCCAUGAACUAAGGGACCAUUUAUAUCCAAACUUCCUGCGAGGUUUAUUAAGUAUGUUGAUUUGGGGGCAUCUAAUCGAUGGACGUGAGUUUGAGUGAACUCCAGGAGUUGGUGACGGACAAGGAGGCCUGGUGUGCUGCAAUUCAUGGGGUCACAAAGAGUCGGACACGACUGAGCGACUGAACUGAACUGAAUCAAACCUGCUGAGGAGGUGGAAGCUAGGAACCAUUUAAGACCGUGCCUUGCAUUGAAGAAGACAGCAUGAUGAGGAAGCUCAAGAAGUAGGAAAACGAAAAUUUAGGAUGUCAGGAUCAUGAGGUUUUUGAGACUGAGUACAUUCAUCUGAGCUGUUAGCUGCUAUGCUCCACUGCAUCCUCCUAUGAUCUGCCUGGUCCAGACCCCUGGAGAAAAUUUGUGCAUGCAUACAGUAUGUGAACUUUAGAUAAAUAAAUAAACACGCGAACCAGCUUCCAGAUAAUUGAAAGCGAAUGAAGGAGGGAGCAAAAAGAAAACAAUUUCUCUGGGGAUAAGCGGCUAAGGUGGCAGGUAUGAUUAAAAUCCAUAUGAUUUAUGGGCAGGUGGAUUGCUAACAUGACAACCCUGUUAGUGUGUGUUUGUUUUGGUGCAUUUGACAAUAAAGUUUUGUUGUUGUUGUUGUGCUUGCUGUGGGUUUUGCUCAGGAGUUAGCCACUCAGGAAUUCCUAGUGCCUGACUGAGCAGUAAUUUAGCAAGCUCUCUUGUGCUCUUUUCCUGUCAGCAUUAACAUGUCAAUUCAUUUUAAUAGUCUGGGCAUGCUCAGUGGGCAGGCAUUUUCUCAGUAGGCAUCCCAGGAGCCCACCCCGCAGUGAAGAAAUGUGUUAUAGCUUGUCUCAGACCUCAGAGACUUCAGCAGGUUUAUUUUCAUUAUGGCCAAGUGUAUUUGUUAGGACAAAGCCAAAAUAAUAUAGAAAAUCAAGACCUUAACAAAUGAAAUGGUUAUGUAUAUUUGAUUAGUAAUCUAAGUUCCAUCAAAGAUCAGGUUGGACAAUCUUUAUUUACACAAGUUUGUUACAUAAAGCUUUGUAAAAUUUUGUGCUGUCACUGCUUCUAGCUUUUGGAAGUUAAAUGAUAAUCUGUAACAAUGGGGCUUUUCUCUAAUCAUGAUUAAUAGUUGAAGUGGCUUUUAUGUUAAACAAGAAUUUGCCUAUGUUUCUCAUUAAAGUGGAUUUUUGUCUAAUGUUCUGUCCAUAAAGAAGUGGAUGGAUGAAUGUAGAAAUAGUACAUAAGUAUGUAAACAAACACAGGCACAAACAAACACUCAAAUCAAACUACCAAUUAGAAAUCUUGAUGCUUCAUAAAUC